GAUCAUCCCAGUAUCGCACACGUAUACAAUGCCGGGACGACCGAAGCCGGCCGCCCCUAUUUUGCGAUGGAGUUCGUCUCCGGCGUGCCGAUCACCGAGCACUGUGACCGGCACAAACUCACGAUUGAGGAACGGCUGGAGCUGUUCCUUCAGGU
rnacentral:rRNA from 1 species